CGGCACUCCAGAUGUUGUGAACUAUAUUUCCCCUGAUGCUUUGCCAGCAUUAGGAGGGGAAGAGCAUUAUGGGAGAUAUGCUUCACAAUAUCUGGAGUGCCG